rnacentral:lncRNA from 1 species
AUGGAGGGGGGUCCAGUCUGGUUUGGGACCCCAGAAAGGGUUGGGGGCGAUGGGGAAGGGUGGGCAGGGGUCCAGGGGGGCAGUUGGGAGUUUUUCAUUUGGGAAACUCAGGGAAAUCCAGAGAAAUUGCAGUUUUUCUUCAGGGAAAUCCAGGAAAAUCGCAAUUUGUCAUCAGGGAAAUCCAGAGAAAUUGCAAUUUUUCAUCAGGGAAAUCCAAGGAAAUCCAGAGAGAUCCAGGAAAAUCACAAUUUGUCAUCAGGGAAAUCAAGAGGAAUUGCAGUUUUUUAUCAGGGAAACCCAGGGAGAUCCAGGGAAACCCAGGUAAAUCUGGGGAGAUCCAGGGAGACCCAGGGAAAUCGCAGUUUUUUAUCAGGGAAAUCCAGGGAAUCCAGGGAAAUCCGUGGAGAUCCAGGAAUUCCAGGGAAACCCAGGGAGAUCCAGAGAAAUUGCAGUUUUUCUUCAGGGAAAUCCAGGGAAACCCAGGGAGAUUCAGGGAGACCCAAGGAAAUCAUGGAAAUCCAGGGAAAUCCGGAGAAAUGCAGGGAGAUCCAGGGAAACCCUGGGAGAUCCAGGAAAAUCGCAGUUUGCCAUCAGGGAAAUCCAGAGAAAUUGCAGUUUUUCUUCAGGGAAAUCCAAGGAGACCCAGGGAAAUCGCAGUUUUUCUUCAGGGAAAUCCAGAGAAAUCGCAGUUUUUCUUCAGGGAAAUCCAGAGAAAUUGCAGUUUUUUAUCAGGGAUAUCCAGAGAAAUCGCAGUUUGCCAUCAGGGAAAUCCAGAGAAAUUGCAGUUUUUCAUCAGGGAAAUCCAGGGAAUCCAGGGAGAUCCAAGAAAUGCACAGUUUGUUAUCAGGGAAAUCCAGAGAAAUUGCAGUUUUUCUUCAGGGAAAUCCAAGGAAAUCCAGGAAAAUCACAAUUUGUCAUCAGGGAAAUCCAGAGAAAUUGCAGGUUUUUAUCAGGGAAUCCAGGGAAAUCCAUGGAGAUCCAGGGAGAUCCAGGGAAAUCGCAGUUUGCCAUCAGGGAAAUACAGAGAAAUUGCAUUUUUUAUCAGGGAAAUCCAGGAAUUCCAGGGAAAUCCGUGGAGAUCCAGGGAAACCCAGGGAAAUCCAGGGAAACCCAGGGAGAUCAGGGAGACCCAAGGAAAUCAUGGAAAUCCAGGGAAAUCCGGAGAAAUGCAGGGAGAUCCAGGGAAACCCAGGGAGAUCCAGGAAAAUCACAAUUUGUCAUCAGGGAAAUCAAGAGAAAUUGCAGUUUUUCUUCAGGGAAAUCCAGGGAAUCCAGGGAAACCCAGGGAGAUCCAGGGAAAUCCGGAGAGAUCCAGGGAAAUGGCAGGUUGCCAUCAGGGAAAUCCAGAGAAAUUGCAGUUUGCCAUCAGGGAAAUCCAGGGAAAUCGCAGUUUCUCAUCAGGGAAUCCCAGUGAAAUCGCAGUUUCUCAUCAGGGAAUCCCAGUGA